UGGAGCUCUAUUUAACAGGUUUCCCUACAAAGGGGGAAAGAAUGAAAACAUUACAGAAGAUGCGAUGGCCCGAAGAUCAGAACCAACAGGGCAGACCACGUGGCCUUGUGCCUCCAAGGAACUCAAAGUCCUGCAAGAGCCAAAUCCUUGGAAGUCACUUGUUGUCUCUGUCAACAUACAAAGGAAGCACCUGCUGUAAGAUGUUUCCAGCCUGAGGCCAUCUUUGCUUCCAAGUUCGCUGCAGUAUCAGCAAAGCCUUCAAGAGCACCUGGAGUUCGGGGAAGCCAGUGGGACUGCCCCAUGGAUAAGCCCAUGUGAAAAGGAACUGAGGCCUCCAGGCUAAGGGCCAGUGAGGGAUGGAGGUUGAUAGCCUGCAUGAGCUCGGCAGUGAAAUCUCCAACUCCAGUGAAGCUUUGAGAUGACUGAAGUCCUGGCCAACAGCAUGACUGUGACCUCAUGUGCGACCCUUACUCCCUAAGGCAGACCAGAUCUCUGACCCACAGAAACUGUAAGGAAAACAAGGGAGGAAACUAAGAAAGGAGAACUUCAAGCCAAGAAAUGGAGGAACCAUGCCAAAAAAAAGAAAAAAAACCCCAAAACACAGAAUUAUCAGUCCGUGGAUGCAAACUUCAAAAAGUUCAAAAGAGCAAGAUGCAAAAGAUCAAGGACUGCCAGAUACAGCAGAAAGACACCCAGGAAAAGUUUUCCCCUGGUUGGCUCCUUCUCAUCAUUCUUCAGAAAGAUCUUCAGAGAUUACCACCCACCACCAUCCUCCAACAGUUUCUCGAAAACACCUUGAGAAAAUCUUGCUCAAAGAAAAUAAAAGAAAGUAAAAGUAAGACCAGAUGUCUUUUCUGUACUCUGAGCUGCCCUGGAUGGAUGUCUGGUUGAUCA